CCUGGUUGUUCCGGCAGAAUAGUUGUCCGCCUCCUCAUUUUCUAUCAACUCUCUUGCCCUUCUCCCAUGGAUUCGGGCCUCCGGUUCUUCCUCUUCCCCGGCAUCGUGGCUGUUAGGUUGGAGGCGGUCAGAGGUAGGUCGGGGUUCAUUGGUUCUGGGUUCCUCCACUACUGGGAGUGCAUUUACUGGGGUGCUAAGGCCCCUCUGUUGCAUUAUCUGCCCCAAC
rnacentral:lncRNA from 1 species